rnacentral:lncRNA from 1 species
AAGUAAUGAUUCAGGUCCUCAUGUUAUCCCAAUACCUCAUUAAUAGGCUGCUUGAUGAUUCCGGAAAUCAUAAACAAUGUGGUAUGUAUUCUGGUGACUAUUAUAUUUUGUCUCAUUGUGAAUGGAUUCUUCUAAAAAGAGGGAUCUAAGGAUAGUUCCUAGGGCUUUAUGCACAUGCUCAGUUCAACAGUGGCUUAUAAUUGUGGUUAUUGUUAACAUUUGUUUAUUUUCUUUUGGAAAAUAUUACUCUGUUUCAUGAUAAGCUGUAGCCAAGAAUGUGAGAAUAAUUCCAAGUUUUGCCUUGAAAUCCACACUUAAUCAUCUCUUGUUUUCUUCUCUUUUGAAAUGUGGAAUUAAUAUUCUGCAGAAAAUAAAAUAAAUUAUAUUUGUUACAAGAAGAUUAUGUCUGAAAAGGAAUCAUAUUUUUUUUUAUAAAAUAGUCAUUCCUUGUUUAGAAAGUUUAUUUUGGCAACUAUACUUUAAAUAUCUGAAUAUUCAAAAAUGUCUUAAUGCUUCUAUAUAUCAUGGGCUUGUUUUGCUAAUAUGCAGUAUACAAUGUAUCCAGAGGACAAUAUUUAUUUAUUUAUUUUUAAAUAUUAUUUAUUUAUUCAUGAGAGACACAGAGAGAGAGAGGCAAAGACACAGGCAGAGGGAGAAGCAGGCUCCAUUCAGGGAGCCCGAUGUGGGACUCGAUCCCAGGACCCUGGGAUCACGCCCUGAUCUGAAGGCAGACACUCAACCACUGAGCCACUCAGGUGCCCCAGAGAAGACAAUAUUUAAAGAACAUUUUGGGCAGAGAUACAUACAGGAAACAUGUGAUGUGGGUGAGUCUGAGAGUAGAUCUAUGGCUGUCUGACCAAUAGACCAUGGCACCGGGGAUGCUAUGUGACUUCCAAAGCCAGGUCAUAAAAGCUUCCACUUGGCUCUCUCUCAGUGUGCUUGACUUUGGAACCCAGCCACCAUGUUGUGAAGAAGCCCAGAUCACAUGGAAAGGCCACACGUAAGAGUUCCAGUGAAGAGUCCCAACUAAAGUCUCAGCUCACAGGCAUGACAAACCUCCAGACAUGUGCAUGAACAAGGCUUCAGAUGAUUCUCACCCCCAGGGUUGAGUAUUCUGAACACUUAUGGAGCAGAGAUGCGCUGUAUCCAUUGUGCCCCAACCAACUUCCUGACAAACAGAAACCAAAUGAGAUAAUAAAUUAUUCUUGUUUUAAAAUGCUGAGUCUUGUAGUAAUUUUAUAUGCAACUUGUAACACAGACAUAAAUAGGGAUCUGGAUGAAAACAGUUUUUCAGGAAUAAUUGGAAAAGACUAAAAUUUCUAGGGAAUUGAGGAGUAAAUGGGCAUUUAAGCAGAAGUAAUGCAUUUAGGUAACUCUUGCAAAAAAUUUUUUUUGUUAGGGAUAUGAGAUAUCUUUACUUCUUAUUUCCUAAAUAAAGAAUAACCAAUAAAAAUAUGGCUCAUGGGAGGCAUUUCUUUUUAAUAAGAAAGACUCAUGUUGUGUGUUGAAAUAAAAGAACUUAUAGACAGGAGGGAAUACUGAAGCAUGUGUGUGCGCUC